GUAAGGAAUAUUGGUCAAUGGUUGCAACUCUGAACCAGCCAUGCCGCGUGCAGGAAGACGGCCCUCUGGGUUGUAAACUGCUUUUAUCCGGGAAUAAACCUGCCUUCGUGAAGGUAGCUGAAUGUACCGGAAGAAUAAGGAUCGGCUAACUCCGUGCCAGCAGCCGCGGUAAUACGGAGGAUCCAAGCGUUAUCCGGAUUUAUUGGGUUUAAAGGGUGCGUAGGCGGCCUGUUAAGUAAGGGGUGAAAGACGGUGGCUCAACCAUCGCAGUGCCCUUGAUACUGAUGGGCUUGAAUGGACUAGAGGUAGGCAGAAUGUGACAAGUAGCGGUGAAAUGCAUAGAUAUGUCACAGAACACCGAUUGCGAAGGCAGCUUACUAUGGUCCUAUUGACGCUGAGGCACGUAAGCGUGUGGAUCGAACAGGAUUAGAUACCCUAGUAGUCC
rnacentral:rRNA from 1 species